CCUUGACUCACUCUCAUUUCUCUCUUCCUCGCUAUUUCUUUUUCUUCCUUCACGUUUUCUUUCUUUCUUCAGCAGACCCAUUUCUGCUCUUUCUUCCUUUCUUCUCCUUUUCUUCUUCUUUUCUUUCUUUGUUACCUACUUUAUCUCCUUCUUUUAUUUGCUGCAACAACUCCCCACUGUUCCUCUUUCUCUUUUGAUCAGCAUCUCCACAUCCUUUUCUUCUCCAUGGACAACCAGUCCAUGAGCCACCACCUCUACUCUCCCUCUUGCAACCGCUGAUGACACCAUCACUAUCACCAUGAUUCUUCUCCUUCCUAACUUGCAGCAACAAACAUGGCACCACCACCAAUAUGAAAGCCACACACACCCCUUCUCAUCACAUAUUUGCUCAAUUUUCUAACCACCACCGUUCCUUGCUCUCCAUGGAGCCUAACAAUCCACCAUCUUUGUUCUCCUUCUUCUGGUUUUGAAUGGAGAACCCCAUGAAAGGACCCAAGCACCACCACCGUGAGCUCCACCACGCAGAGGAUGCCACCGGCACAUCACCUUCUCAUUUUCCUUGGGUACGAAGGACGAAAGCGCCUUGCGACGAAGCUAAAGAAUAGAAGGAAGCGAGCUGACGCGGAAAACAAAUAUGUGACAGGAUUGGAGUUGCAGUUUAGGAAGAAAAUUGGCUAAGGCGAUGGAGAGCCUUCCGCUGAAGCUUAGCUGUUCGAGUUGGAGAUCGUGACCGUGGGCGGUCGAAUAAUGGUGGAUGAAGCAGUUGCUUCUCCCCUUUUGAAGGACUAUGUCUGAGUUUCUUUCUCCAUCUGAAAACUCUGCUGUUUAAAUCUUACAUUCGCCACUUGUCUAAGUGAGCGUACUUAUUUUGGAAACUUGUUUAUGAUAUUGUAAGACAUUAUUAUUAUAU